rnacentral:rRNA from 1 species
AGCGAACGCUGGCGGCAGGCUUAACACAUGCAAGUCGAGCGGGCAUAGCAAUAUGUCCGCGGCAGACGGGUGCGUAACGCGUGGGAACGUACCUUUUGGUUCGGAACAACUGAGGGAAACUUCAGCUAAUACCGGAUAAGCCCUUACGGGGAAAGAUUUAUCGCCGAAAGAUCGGCCCGCGUCUGAUUAGCUAGUUGGUGAGGUAAUGGCUCACCAAGGCGACGAUCAGUAGCUGGUCUGAGAGGAUGAUCAGCCACAUUGGGACUGAGACACGGCCCAAACUCCUACGGGAGGCAGCAGUGGGGAAUAUUGGACAAUGGGCGCAAGCCUGAUCCAGCCAUGCCGCGUGAGUGAUGAAGGCCCUAGGGUUGUAAAGCUCUUUUGUGCGGGAAGAUAAUGACGGUACCGCAAGAAUAAGCCCCGGCUAACUUCGUG